AGACAGAAAGGUUAUUUGCUUCGCAGAGAGAGAUAAAGAGAGGUGUUGGUUUUCAGUUGUUUGCUUGAUCUGUGCAGAAAGGGUAGAUAAUUUUGUAGCUUUUCGAAAUUGGAGGAGGAAGAACACAGUAUUAAAACAAAUUGAUUGAGAGCUGGGUUGCUUUUGAUCAGUGGUGUACAUAUCAUUUGGGUUACCUCUAGAUAAGCUGCAUAGGUUAGUCAGUACUUCGGUUUCUGAGUUUAAGCUUGCCUUCAAUGAUUGUGGAGCUCUUUUGGGUGACAUUUGAUUUGUAUGAAAUGCUUAUGGUUUAGAGGGGCUCGAUUUUAUAGUGUGAUCUAAGUUUUGAGAAUUUGUAUUUGACUUGAUUCUUGGUAUUAACCAUUUUACACUAAAGAAUUUCACAAAGCGUGAAUCAUGAAUAACAAUGAGAGCAAAGAACCGGUGCCCCCCAAUUCCAUUAAAAACCAGUUGCGUGUGCAGUGAUGGCUUUCAUCACCAUUAGUUUAGUGCUAUUAGAAUACUGAUCAUGCUUAUCUUCAAUUAACUAUAUUAAUCUCAGCAUAGCCAGGUAGAUUAAGAUUUAUGUAUGCUAUAUUUGGGUUUAAUCAUCUCUCAUUUUUGGAAAUCAAAUGGAGCUAAAGCCCUGUUACACUCAUGGACGGACCAGAAUAGUGGCAUCAGGAAGUAAAGCAGUUAUGUUGAGCUAUUGGAUUUUGUGUUUUAUCGUUGUUGUGAUUGUCACAAGUUUGGUUAGAAGCUGAGAUUUUUUCGUACGGUCCGAGUCUUGGUCUCUUUGUAUCCGGCAUAUACCAAUUUCCUUAAAGAAAAAGAAGAAAUAGACAUUGCAGCCUGGUUUUGGUUUCAGUGGGGAUCCCAUCAUUACAACUCAUGCAAGCAAUUAUUGCUGUUGAAAUCAACUUCAGACCAUUUAGAAUAUUACAUACUAGCAAGUAAUAAAAGUUGCAGUUUGUCUCCUUCCUCAUCAAAAGUGAAGUUGAAGGCAUAUGCUGAUCGAGCUUCACGAGGUAGAAGGAGUCGAACAUACAUUCCAUAAUUAAAAGAAACUUCUUCAAAUGCAAGGAAUGUUAGAAAAAAAGAUGAAGCAAUGAGAAGCAGUUCAAGCAACUAAUGCGAGGCUGGCAACAGUGAUGAUAAUUGGCUUAUUCUAAUUUCUUGGACAACUAUGUAUGGAUCCCCACCGAAUAUAGCACUCUUUUAGGUGGAGAUAGGAUUCCUCUGAUCACUAUCAGAGGCAAGAGAUCUGCAAGGAUGAAUAUACCUCCUCUGUGCUCCAUAGCUCUGCUUCUUCUGUUGGUAGAUAUUCAUGUAUUCUUUUUAAUUAUAAGUCAUCCUCAUUUGCAGAGAGAACAGUUGUAGUUUUAUUUUUCUAUUAUUAAAACACCACUUUUUGUAAUAUGUAAAAUCAAAACAGUUUCAAUUAACA